rnacentral:lncRNA from 1 species
UCUAAUCUUUAUUAAUGUUGAGAUUACAAUAUAUAUAGGUCCAUACACUUAGGGUUUUCGAAACAUAAGGAUAAGCAAGCAUGUGAAGGCAAUGGAAGAGCUGAUGCUUUAAUUCAAACCAGCCAAUGGGAGUCCUCACAUGUUUGGGCAUCUUUCUGAUCCAAAGCAAAGAUGCUCUUCCUUUCCGGCUCUUGCCAGUCUGUCCUAGCUGUCAAGCCGCGCCUCCCUUAUCUAUUCCAACGUUUGGAUAAGGUUUUGGUCGAAUGUAAUUUCA